rnacentral:rRNA from 1 species
GACGAACGCUGGCGGCGUGCUUAACACAUGCAAGUCGAACGAAGUGGCGAACGGGUGAGUAACGCGUAAUCAACCUGCCCUUCAGAGGGGGACAACAGUUGGAAACGACUGCUAAUACCGCAUACUGAAGGAGGGGCUUGCGUGUGAUUAGGUAGUUGGGGGGGUAACGGCCCACCAAGGCGAUGAUCAGUAGCCGGCCUGAGAGGAUGAAAGGCCAAAUUGGGACUGAGUAAUGGCUCAGAAUCCUACGGGAGGCAGCAGUGGGGAAUCUUCCGAAAUGGACGAAAGUCUGACGGAGCAACGCCGCGUGAGUGAUGAAGGCCUUCGGGUUGUAAAGCUCUGUUAAUCGGGACGCGGUACCGGAAUAGAAAGCCACGGCUAACUACGUGCCAGCAGCCGCGGUAAUAC